CAAAAUGUAAAUGUAAAUGUGGCAAACUCAUGUAUGCCCGAAGUUCAUCCAACUUUCACGAGUUGGAUUUCAAUCUAAACAACAAGCAUUAUCAUGCUAUUGCAUCAAAAGUCAUGCAGAAGAAAUGGGCGGUAGCUGCAGAAGUACACGAUCUUGAGCCCACACUACAUUGAAGGUGGUAGCCUCCAAAUCACCAAGCUCUGGAGCGCGGUUGCACACAACAACAUUUGGAAUACCAAAUCCAGAAUCAGCAUGCAUGGUGUGGUAAUGCCACUGCCUCUCCUCCAAGUCGUAGACCACAAUGAAGCGACCAGAGUCUACAUCCGGAUAGCUUAUAUUCCCCUGAGAUAUGCAAGCGUAGCGACCACCUGCCGUAAACCAAAACAAG
rnacentral:lncRNA from 1 species